GGGCCCGCACAAGCGGUGGAGCAUGUGGUUUAAUUCGACGCAACGCGAAGAACCUUACCUGGUCUUGACAUCCUGCGUAACUUUCUAGAGAUAGAUUGGUGCCUUCGGGAACGCAGUGACAGGUGCUGCAUGGCUGUCGUCAGCUCGUGUCGUGAGAUGUUGGGUUAAGUCCCGUAACGAGCGCAACCCUUGUCCUUAGUUGCCAGCACUUCGGGUGGGAACUCUAAGGAGACUGCCGGUGAUAAACCGGAGGAAGGUGGGGACGACGUCAAAUCAUCACGGCCUUACGUCCUGGGCCACACACGUGCUACAAUGGUAGUGACAAUGGGUUAAUCCCAAAAAGCUAUCUCAGU
rnacentral:rRNA from 1 species